ACAGGGCCCGCCCGGGACGGGCCCCGGCUGCGAGGGGAGCGCGGGUGAGGGAGGGCCAUGCAGAAGGAGAGGGGAGAAGGCAAGAAAAAUCAAUGGGCCAGUAUGUUAUAAGUGCUCGAAAUCAUGAGGUUUCGCAUCACGUUGUGUUGCGGUCAGGUGCGGUGUCCUUCCGCGGCAGAGCGGUGUGUGAUGGAGGUCCCCGUGGCACCUGCCAGGCACUGUGCGCUCAGGAUCGCUACUGGAGAAACUGCAGAAGUCAACACUGCUGUUAAAUGGAUUUAUUUGGGAAUUAGAGGUCUUCUGGAAAAGAGGAAGAUCUUCGCAUGGACACUAAACUGGAGUCCAAGGAAGCAAUCUGAUGCUCCAUACUGUCAUCUGCAGCCUGAAAACAACUAUUGCAUGGGGCCUGAUUUUAUUGCCAUUGAAGUCAAUGGUGUCUCAACAUUUUCAGUUGCGUUCCUAUAUUAAUGUCUGUGGCACAAUUGGCAAUUGACCAGGAAAUUUUAGCCUCAGGUAUUUACAGAGAUGUGAGCUGCUUAUGCAGUAGUGAUCUCCAUGGAUCUUCCAUCAAGUUAGCCCAAAAUGAGCUGGAACAAUUUUGGGAGAGACUACAAACAACUUCAGUCAUACCCAAAGCAGGAUGUUAAUGCAGCCUGAAGCUUUAUGUUGGACACUUGGGAGGCCAAAUAUGACAGCUAAGAAGCCAAGCAGUGUUCUUAAGGGUUUGAAGCAGUUGCAGAUUCAAGGAAGGAACAGAGACACUGUUGGCUGUUCUGCAGGAAGAACGAUUAUGUUUAUGUGACAUCAUUAUGGAAGGAGUUCAAAACAAGGUAGUAACCAUUUUGCAAUUCCUUGUGAAGGACAGGGGGAAGACUGUAGAACCGCAUACAGAUACCGAAUACUCAGUGCAGUAUUGCCAUCUGUUGGUAACUGCUUAGCAAAGCUGCAGAACUGCUACAAGGCCUUGGAUGAUGAACCACCACACCGACUUGCUGUAUAUUAUUACUGUUUUCUGCUUCUAAAAGGCUGAGUUUCCUUGGCAGGGCAUUUGCCCUGUACUGCUGCAUUGCUGGGGAACUGACUGGACAAGACAGGGGGCCUAUGGCUCCCAGCUCUGGCCCAGAUUGUUCAGAACCUCUUCCACAUCUGAAGCUACUACCCAGAGCAAAGUCUGUGAAGACCAGGCAAGUCUAUAGCAAGAAUAUUUAAGAAUCCCCCCCCCCCCCCCCCAUCCGAGGGAGAAAGGGAAGGGAAUGGAAUCGGCAAAAUUCCUCUGUGUGAGUUUUAAAACCUGUAAAACCUGUGACAGAUAAAAAGCAUAUUAAAAACACAGUUCUACUUUCUAGCCAAGAAGUGUUUGCAUAUCAUGAAUCUAAUCAACGGCAAUACUUUUUACUACAAAAAAUAUGGCGCGAGACCUGGAAUCAGGCGUGUGGAGUUCCAGUUUCAGCGACUUAUUAGGAAACCCUCAGAGAACCAUGUAGAGGUUCACUUUUUCAACACUGCCAAGCUGAGAUGCUCUGCAGCAAUUUUCAGGAGUGCCAGGCAUCUGUACAGUGGAUUCAAGAUCUGAUACUUCUGCACAAGACCCAUAUCCAUGUUUCCUAAAUAUGCACAUUCCAAAAUUUUUUGUUAUUAAUGAACCAAAAAUCCUUAUGAGGUCUAUAUGAGCCAUACAAUUACUACAAUCAAACAAUUACUACAUACAGAAACUAAUUCCAACAGGCAAGCGGGAGACAAAACUCCCAGUAGUGGUGGGAGCCUUAAACAAAGUAAUCACCGCAUGGGAAUGCUGCAAUUGACCAUCAAGAAAGACUUAGAAAGUAUUCUAAAAAGACAAGCCCAGGAACAAAAAUGGCAGGGCAGAAAAACCAUGGAUAUAAUGGAGACAUUGAUUUUACAAUACACUGUAUGCACAUACUACCUCAUGGCCCAAAGGAAACGGGUAACUGCUGUUUUCUGUUCUGUUUAUGACCUGUAUUGCUUCUCCCUUUGCAAGUUUCCUCCGCUGUUGCAGAUGCCAGGUACCCUUUCAUUCCCUCAAAUUCUGAAGUGAUUCACUUAGCAAAGUUAAAUUCAAAGCAAUUUCUUCCUGUCUAUCCUUAGCAUAAAGUUUGCU